GGUUGUGAUGCAGGGACAGAAAAUUCAGAAUGCCACAUGCUUGGCCUCAUUUCUCUGGGUGGCCUACCCAAGAGCUUCAAGAAAAACAGUUUAAGAAAAUGCUAACUUCAGCAAUAUUGGCAAGACAAAGCCCCUUACACUCCUUAGUUCUUUAUUCAGCAUUGUUCUGCUCUCAUUUAUUAAAAAUUCCAAGUACCAUUGUCAGUAUUCUUCAGAAAAUCUUAUAGUGCUGUCUCAUUUCUCUUGGCAAAAGAAAGCCUGUUGUGCAACCCAAUGAAUUUAAUUUUUUUUUUUUAAAGAAUCGUGCCACUGCACUCCAGCCUGGGCGACAGAACGAGGCUCCGUCCCCCAAAAAAGAACUGAAGCAUUUAGAAUCAUAGUGGCAGUGGUGGUGGUGGUGAUGGUGAUGGUGAUGGUGAUAAUGAUGGUGAUGGGAUGGUGACGGUCAUGGUGAUUUUGGUAGUGGGAGUAUUGGUGUGGCAUUUCAGCAAAUGUUGUUUUCAUUUGUUUUAACCAUCAGCCAAGGAACAAAGCAAUCUGUCUCUUCAAUAUAGUUACACAGGUGACUAAGUGUCACCCGCUUCCACCUUCUCUAAUCAAGGAAAUGGUGACGAUCAGGUUACUAUAGAUUCCUUAUAAGGUGCCUUCAUAAUGGAUAACUGUAGCCAUUUUAUGUAAGCAUUGUCCUGUGAUUAAAAAAAAAA
ensembl:lncRNA novel transcript